rnacentral:lncRNA from 1 species
GCUAUUGUUAUGCAAGAACAACAUAAUAAUAUAAGCUAUAAAGAUAAAGAUUUUUUUUUAUAUUUUUUGAUAUACGAAAAAAAAAUUUAUGAACAAUUAUUUAAAAAAAUAAAUUUAAAUUACGAAAAACAUGAACUUGUAAACAAAUUAAAGAUGUUAAAACAGAAACUUAAAGAACAGAGAUUUAAAGAAAUAAAAUAUUUGUUUGAAGAAAGUAUGCAUCAUGUAUAUUUAGUGAAUAAUACUGAAAUUGGAACUACUGACAUUGUAGAUACAACUGGUACUUCUAAUGCUGCAGAUAAAAAUAAGCUCUAUACGAAUACCAUCUAUAGUAAACUUUUUUCAAAUAAUUUCGAUUUUAAUAGUAUUAAUUAUAUAAAUGAAAACAAGUCUUGGUUUCAUCUUUCAUUAAAAUACCUUUUACCAAAAUUAUACAAUUGUAAUGACCAUAAGCAGACAAAUAAUUUGAUAUAUAAUAUAGGAAAUAAAAUUAUUAAUAAAACAUUUAUUAAUAAUAAUGCAUUGAAGAAAAAAAAAAGAAAAAGAAAAAUGGAUAAUAAUACUGUUCAUGCAUUGGCGCUUAUGCCUGCAACAGACAAUGCUACUGUUUCUACAGCCUCUACUACCGCUACUGCUGUCACUGCUGCUACUGUUGCUACUGCUACUACGGUUGCUACUACUACAUCUGACAUUACCAUUAGUAAUAAUAAAAAAAAGAAAAAGCAAAAUAAAAAAAAAAAAAACGAUCAAGACCAAUAUAACUAUAUAUAUAAUGAUAAAAAUAAUAAUAACAUGAAUGGUUAUAACCCAUCAAACAAUAAUAUCAUAGAAAAUGGUACUUACAAUAAUAAUAAAUACAGUUUAAUUUAUAACAACGAUAUACAACAAAAUAUAUAUAACAACAUGUGUUAUAACUUAUAUAACACUACACAAGGUAAUAUGUACACAAACAAUAAUAUACAAAACCAUUUAUAUAACAGCGGGAUGACAAACAUCUCAUGUAACUCUACGUAUAACAACAUGUACAACAAUAAUAACAUUUACAGCAACGAUAACAUGUACAACAAGGAUAACGAGUAUAACAAGGAUAAUAUGUAUAACAAGGAUAAUAUGUAUAACAAGGAUAAUAUGUAUAACAAGGAUAAUAUGUAUAACAAGGAUAACAUGUAUAAUCAAGCGUUUAACCAUAAUAACCCGAUUAACUACAAUAACCCCAUUAACUACAAUAAUAGUAUUAAAUAUAAUGACGGUAUUAACUAUAAUAACGACAAUAUCUACAAUAACAACAAUAACUACAAUAACAACAAUGACCACAGUAACAACAUUAACUAUGGUAACGACCUUAGCUAUGCUAACAACAUAAGCUACAAUACCGACAUUAACAACACUAACAAUCCGUUUGGAUAUGUUAACAACCUUGACAUGCAACCUACUACUAUUCCUACUGCUAAUAACAUCAAUGAUACUACUCCUACAGCUGUCAAACAU